rnacentral:rRNA from 1 species
AUUGAACGCUGGCGGCAGGCCUAACACAUGCAAGUCGAACGAGUGGCGGACGGGUGAGGAAUGUCUGGGAAACUGCCUGAUGGAGGGGGAUAACCACGGGAAAAGGUAGCUAAUACCGCAUACCAUCAGAUGUGCCCAGAUGGGAUAAGCUAGUUGGUGGGGUAACGGCUCACCAAGGCGACGAUCCCUCGCUAGUCUGAGAGGAUGACAGGCCACACUGCAACUGCGACAAGGUCCAGACUCCUACGGGAGGCAGCAGUGGGAAAUAUUGCACACUGGGCGCAAGCCUGAUGCAGCCAUGCCGCGUGUAUGAAGAAGGCCUUCGGGUUGUAAAGUACUUUCAGCGGGGAGGCGUUACCCGAAGAAGAAGCACCGGCUAACUCCGUGCCAGCAGCCGCGGUAAUUC